rnacentral:lncRNA from 1 species
GACAGUUCUGAGUGUUGGGGAGAGAACAAAAGAAGGAAAGUGCAUUUUGGGUGGCAGAAAGCCCCUAACAGAGCCUUGGGCCCCUGCUUUGAAGCAGCCCUCACAGAAACUGACCACGAGUUAUGUUGGGCCCAUGACACUGGUUCCCUGGGUGGACACAGCCUGAGCCCAGCCCGCCCUGUCUGGAGCUCUCACCACCCUGCCUGGCCCGUGCCCAUGGGCUCACAAUGGCUUCAACCCCAUUUAUGUGUCAGCUCAAGCAGGCCUCCCCAGAGGGCUCAUUUGCACUUGGAUGCCCUCACCUGUGCUCCCUCUGUGGCUUCAGGAACCCCGGGGUCAUUACAGAGCUUGCUAAAUUCAUCCCUGGACGUGAGAUGUGUGUCGUAAGCAUCCAGGACUGUCCCAAGAUGGGAGAGGCGUUCAGUCAUGUUCACUCAAGUGAAGGCUUCUAUUCUACUUCCAGAUACACCUUUUUAACCUUCAAAGGGUCCAAUUUUAACCUUUCUUCCACAAAGCAUUUUACGUACCACUAAUAGUCCCAGUGCAGACCCCAAAGUUCCCCUGUAAGAUUCAUUUCCUGUGAUUCGAGCACAGCCUGAGGCAGAGCUUUCUGCUGGGUUUAUCCUCACUGAGACUCAGACUGCAGAGGGCCAGGAGGAGCCCUGCUUUUUGCAAGCAAUACCACCUGGGGUAGGACCCACAAGUGACAUCCUUUGUGCGUGGAUCUGGCCUUGGCCUCCGCACCGUCUGUUCAGCAAGUCCCUCCUUUGCCUGCCAAGGCUGAGGUCCUGUACUUUUGUGUGUGGAUCUGGCCUUGGCCUCCGCACCGUCUGUUCAGCAGGUCCCUCCUUUGUCUGCCAAGGCUGAGGUCCUGUACUUUUGCAAAGGUCCAGGCUGUUUGGUGCAGCUACAAUCAGGGUGCGUGGUUUCUCUAUGAACGCAAACAGCGGUCUCAAGGGGAAGGCCCCGGCAGAAAGUGCAUCAUGCGGGACACGGUGCAGGCGCUCCGAAGACGCCUCCUGCUCACUUCUGGCCUCCACCCCCUGCCCUGCAGGGUGACAGAUGGCUGUGCCUACACAUAAAACACCAGACGUGACCAAUAACUAUCUUAUAAUAAAUAUACUCGAACUUCUCAACUAGAACACAGAAAUGCUUUCAGGAAGUACAUCGCGCACCACCACGUGUGGUCCUGUGUGCAGCGGCGUGGGCCUCGCCCCGUCCCAUGAGCCAGCGUGAUGGGGGAGAGACCCUGAGUCUCCAGAACCCAACGGAACGUGGGUCUGCAGUGACGACGGAGACGCAAAAAAACAAGAAUCCGAAGAGGAAAGAGACAACGUGAGGAAAGUUGCCUUUGUUCUAGGAAAAGUCUUUUUCUUCACAGUAUAGUGACUCAUUUAUAAAGAGGAAGUGAGUUCUGUUGAAAAAUACUUGAAAUAUUCUCUUAGGGGGAGAAAGCAGUUCUUCACCAGCUUGGUGGGCCACUUGGCCGCGAGCUUCGAGCUCUGCUUGUUCUGGGCCAGCAGGGACAAUUCUUCUUCCGAAACCAGAGCCCAGUGCCUGCUGCUGAGAGGAGGGGAGGGAAGGUUGUGAGCAAGCGCAGCGCCCACUGGGUGGCCCCGGAGAUGGGGCUGGGAAGGAAUCGCUGCGAGGGGGCGAGGGGAACAGCCUGCCUCUCAGUUGUCCCAGGUGCCUAAGACCCCCCCCCCGGAACCCCCGCCUGAUUCUGGGAGUUUUUCUCAUGGAGGUGGAGUGAGCAACAGGGGACCAGAUGACUCCCUUGCCUCCCGCCUCCCCCGGCCGGGGGCUGGUCCCCUGGGAAGCAGGCUGGGGGUCACUCCGUGUGAACAGCGAGCUCCAGGGCCAUCGCUAGAGGAUGUCACCAUCCCUGGGCAGCACCCCCGCAGAGGAAAGGACAGGACUCUGGGCAAAAGUUGGCCAAACCCUCGCAGAGUCAGCGAGCAUUCCCAGGGAAUUCUAUCACAAAGGCCGUCCCCUGGGUUCCUGGGGCUGCCUGUGCCGGGAGCCCCAGCCCUGGGUGCAGGAGGGCAGGUGGUGAGAGGAAAGGUCCCCUGCCAGCCUGCUGUGAGGAGCCCUUGAGGAAGACGGGCUUUGCAGACUUGGCACCAACACCCCCUCUCCUGCUCCCAGCCACCCCACUGGAGGCCAGGAACAUUUCUCAGUUUAUUUUGGGGUGAAGACUGCGAGUGAAGUGCCAGAUACAGUGUCCCCCUCCUCCUCCUCCUCCUCAGGCACCCUCCCUAGGGCAGUGGGGACUGUCCUUAACCAUCCUGGGGGUGAUGGUGGCUACCUCUGCAAAAGGAUUUCUCCUUUCAGUGAGUGGGUGUCUCUCAUGUCACUGUUGAGACACCCAGGAGCCUGGGAGGGAAACCUGUGGGAAGGAACUGCCAGCCUCCUUCUGGGAACCAGGUGACCCCAGGAUCACGGCUCAGGUGGAUCCAGCCCUCGAAACCCUGUGAGGAGCUCUGUGGAGCCUCGCUCAGAAAGGGGGGCUGGGAAGAAGCAGCUGCCAGCCCACAGCCCAAGCCUGCAGGGGCCACAAGUGUGGCCACUGGAGCAGAGGGAGGUGCCUUUUGUGGAGCAGCAACCCUGGGUCUGGCUGCACCUGCCACUUAAGAACCCUGAUGGGGCGCUGUUCUCACUGCUGUGUGGACGCAUAGAGCCUCCGGGGGCCAAGGAGCCUCUGGGGCCAGGCAGCAGGUGAGGCAUGGCCUGUAAUGCACACAGGUGUUGCUGGGUCUGCCCCCACCUUCACCCCCGCUCACCCAGCCCCACAGAGCCUGGCAUGGCCUCCCAGGAAGUGACAUGGCGGGGAACAGGCUUAGGGUUAGGGGGAGGCUGUGCGAAGGCUGGCAUGCAGGUGAGAGGGCUUCUGAAGAGAAAGCAUGCUGGAAAAGUGCUUCGGCUCAGCCCCACCCAAACUCAAAUCCAGGGGAAGCCAGGCCAGCAAGACCUGCAGGUGCCAUGCCUUGGCAGGUGCCAGGCAACAGGAUCGUGCCUCGGUGGUGACGUGGGAGAUGCUGGAACCGGGGAGGUGAGAGGGAGUAAGUUUCCAGAACUCACUCUCAGGCAGGAGGAGAUCAUGACUCAGCUGAGCCAGAAAGCGCUCGUUCCACACGAAUGCACGUAUGAGCGAGGCACGCCAGGCGAGUGUGGGAGUGAGGGGAUGGAUGGGCGGUUGGCUGGAGGUCGUGAGGUCUGGGCCGCCUGGAAAGGCUGUUGAGGGGCGGGGGCAGCUGGGAGAGGCUGUGGGGGCAGCAGAAGGGGGUGCUUAGCCGCAGAGAGGGCACGUGGGGAAAGGCCAUGUGUUCAAGGCCCCAAAAGGUGGGGAGGGCAGCCCAGGAGUGCACCGCAGGGGGUGCAAGCGUGUGGGUGGGUGAGACUGAUGCGUGUGUGCCUGUGUGAUUGUGAGCACAUGUGAACGUGUGGAUGCAGGUGGUAGUCGUGAGUGUGCUUGUGUGAGCAUGUGACUGAGGGAGCAUGUGGGUGUGUGGAUGAGCGUGACUGUGGGGAUGACUGUGUGUGCAUGCAUGAGCACACAGGUGUGUGGAUGAGCGUGACCGUGGGAAUGACUGUGUGUGUGUGCAUACAUGAGCACACAGGCGUAUGGAUGAGCGUGCAAGUGAGUCAUGUGAGUGUGGCUGAGUGUGAGCACGCAUGAGCUUGUGGGUGUGCAAGGGAGGUGGGGAGGCCACACGGAAUGAAAGCCUGGGGGCUGCAGCCGAUUCAGGGCCAGGCCGCCAUGGCGCAUAUGGGUGUCCAGGGGCUGGACCCCGAGAAGCUGAGAGCCAGUGCUGGAGAAGCUCCCCAAGGGGAAAGGGGCAUCCUCAGGCUUCGGUGUCUUCAGGGUCUCAGGGUGGCCCCGAAGGCCGACCGCAGUCCCACUGGGGCGCAGAGGCUGCUCUGGGCUUGGCUCUGCUAGACAGACCCCAUUUCCUCAGUGAACCCCGCUUCUGGGUCCAUGUUCCCCUUGACCCUGAACGCUUUCAGCUGCCCAGGAAAUACCUCCUUAUGGCUGGGAUGUUGCUCCACACGCGGACAGCAUUCUGCAAGGAUCCGCCGUGGACAUCUGGGAUGGUGACUGGCUCCAUCUGGGGGCGGGAGGGUCGGCCGUGGGUCAGGGGACCUGGACGGUAAGCGCCCCCCACAGGCCCACUGGCCUCAGCCGCCAAUGGCCCUGAGUGGUCAAUGGACUUUCUAGCCCGACUGUGUUCCCUACGUCCUUUUUUCUUAUGAAUCACCUUUGGAGAAAAAUGCUGAUGAAUUAUUUUAAACUGACAGAACAGACUCUGUGGCAAUAAGAUAUCAAAUUACAAACAGGACCUCAGGCCGCGCCAGGCAAGGGUCGAGCCGAGCCGCGUGCCCUACACUGAGAGGACGGACUCUGCCCUCACGCCACAGCUGCUGCUUUUUCUGCAGCGGCUAAACACGCACUGGCCCCGCGAUGAGGAUGAGCAAGGUUCAAAUGACUGCAGCUCAUCCACCUGCAGAUGCCAACUGACCACGUUCCACAGCCAUGACCACAGCUCUGACUGGGCAGGAGACUGACUUCAGGAACCUCCUCCUGAUAAGGGACCCCGACCACAGACUGGCUCCGGCCGGUUUACAGAGGUUGUGCGCUUGAGGGCCUGUGUCCUGAGAAGACCUCUGAGGUUUAGGGCCUCAUUGCGACACACUGACAUGAUAAGACUCCACCCCGGAGUGAACAGAGGUCGUAAGUUCCACGGAUUUUGUUCAGUACGCACGCAGCAGGACCCCCUUCAUGAAUAUUCACCGCUCCUCCAUAACCUGCCGCACAGGUUUAGCCAACCCGGUCAGCACGGAGCUCCUGCCCCAGCCACCCCUCCCCUUCGAAGUGCCUCCUCCUGGCUCCUCUGGUCUUGGUGGAGGCCCCGUGCUUCCCAGCCUGGGGGACGGGACCUUGCAGGCUGUGCCCCUUUACAGAAACAAAGUCUCCUGUUCUAAAAGCACAGACUUUGUGAUUUUCAGCUCAUGGCGUUUGCUCCCCUUCUGAAUAGCUGGAUUUGCAUUCCAGCCACUCCACGAGAUUCCAGCACCAAAGGAACCUCAACGCCACCUGGACCCCCAGCAAAGGCUCUGGCCCACAGGUGCUGCCCACUCGGUGGGUCGGGCCCCCGCUGGCUGUGGCCCCUCCAUGGAACCUGAGAGCAUGAGGAAAUUCCCCCUCCUGAGCCUCACGCCUGUCUCCUGUGGCUGAGGUGUGGCCGUCCCUCCCCAACCCUGGAAGUGUCUGGAACACCCGGCCCAUCAGCCCCAGAGGGGACCCAUCCGCUGAGUCCAAAAGUGGCUGCUCUGACAAUCAGGAUUCAGACGUGUGAAGAAAAGGCUGUAUGUGUGUGGUGUGAGUAUGUGUGCACGUAGUGUGCCUGUGUGUGUGUGGCAAGUGUGUCCCUGUGUGUGGUGCAUGUGUACAGUGACUGUGCACUGCAGUGUGUGUGCACCUGUGUGUGUGGUGUGAUGUGCGUGUGUGUGGGUGGAGACUGAGGGGGCAGGGGCAGGAGGUGAGCCCCCGAGGCCGUGUUCUGUGAGCACAGGAGUGGUGCGAGGUGGGACUGCCCUCCCAUGCUGUCCUUGAAGGGGCUUUGUGUCCCAGGCCGCAGUCCCUGCCCGGACUGCACAGCAGCUCUCCUGGGCCCUGUACACACCUGGAAACCAGGGGCCGCAAGGAGCCAGGCCCGGAGCCUGGGGUGUAGACUGAGCUCCACCAGAAAAGCCCCUCCCUCACGUGGGCAGGGGUCAGAGGGCGGCCCACGCAGCCCUGCACGCACCUCCAGGAAGCGAGAUGCGACGUCCAGGUCUUCCUUGUUCAGCACCAGAUUGUCCACGAACAUCCAGAAGAAGGGCCUGGGGCUGCCUGGCUUGGGCCGUGCGUACUGCAGGAGCCGGUGGAACUGGAACAGCAGCAAUGAAGCCCUGCCCAGUGCUGGGGCCACAGAGGUGCAUGGACCCCUCCUCCCCCAGGCAGGCCUAGAGUGGGGAAGAGACAGACAGGCAACCCCGAGGGAGGAGCUGACGCAGAGCGCGUGCCGCGGCACAAAUACCGCCUUUUAGAGGAAGCUCCAGAGGACACGUGAGCUGCAGUGAUGUGGGCACGCUGGGGGCUGCAUGGGGUCAGCGGGAGGCUUGGGGGCACAGGGAAGCCUGCAGUGAUGGGGACUCUUACUCUGUUGCUCUCUUACUCUGAUGAGGGGUGCAUGGGUGUGGAGCUAGCUCAGAACUCAUCCAGUCGGACACACUGAAUGCGUGCAACUUACUGUAUGUCAGUGGUGCCUCGAUAAAGCUGUUUUUGAAAAAUGCUGACAAUUUGCAGUUUCUGCCCUGGCAUGGAGGUGUGAGGAGAGAGGAGAGGAGACAGGGGUGGUGGGGACAGGCUGCCAGAACUGAAGCAUCACUCACUGGGAGGACGGUCACAGGUGUGGCCCAGGGGAGGUGUGGCGCCGUACACAAGAUCGAAGGGUCCCCACUCCUCCACCUGCAGGACAGAGGGGAGUGGGCACUGAGAGGCAGCAGCAGUGGGCAAGGUCGCGUGCGGCAGCACGAGAUGACCCCAGGGCAGACCCUGCUCAGCUCGCAGGGCCCACAGGCCAGGGCAAGCUGAGGAGUGGAGCCCACUAGGGCAGAGCCAUCCACAGCCACCACCAGCCUCAGGGGCUGCCUGCCUGGAGCCCAGAGGAGAAAGCUCCGGGUCUGAGGUGAAGACUCUGUGCCAUGCAUUUGGGGACUGAAUUCUGCCUUUAUUUUUUCUUGCUCAAAUUCCUUUCUAAGGAGCGUAGGGGAAUCACGCCUUACAAACCACAAAAGCUUGUGGAAUGGGUGUUUUUGACCUGGUAUAUUGUGACUCUGCCAUGGCACCACAUGACAGACAGCAGACCUCCUUAUUUUAACUCAAGCAUUCCUUUCUACUGACUCCCAGUUUUUAGGCAAAGCUCAACUCUUUCAACCAACUGCCAACUAAAGAAUCCCUAAACCCACCUAUAACCUGUAAGCUUCAAGAUAUCUCGCCUUUUGGGGCUGAUCCAAUGCACAUCUUCUAUGUAUUGAUUUAUUGAUUGAUUGAUUUUUUGAGAUGGGGUCUCACUCUGUCACCCAGGCUGUAGUGCAAUGGCGAGAUCUCGGCUCACUGCAACCUCUACCUCCUGGGCUCAAGCAAUCCUCCUGCCUCAGCCCCCUGAGCAACCCCAGGUGCACAUCACCAUGACUAGCCAACUUUUUUGUAUUUUUGGUAGAGAUGGGGUUUCACCAAGUUGCUCAAACUGGUCUUGAACUCCUCAGCUCAAAGUGCUGGGAUUACAGGCGUGAGCCACCGCGCCCGGCCCGUGUACUGUUUUCUGAUUCCACCUGCAGUUCGCAUCUCCCUGAAAUGUACAAAACCAAUUGUGCUGGGAGUGGUGGCUCACGCCUGUAAUCCCAGCACUUUGGGAGGCAGAGGCGGGCGGAUCACGAGGUCAGGAGAUUGAGACCAUCCUGGCUAACACGGUGAAACCCCGUCUCUACUAAAAAUAUAAAAAAAUUAGCCAGGCAUGGUGGCGGGCGCCUGUAGUCCCAGCUACUCGGGAGGCUGAGGCAGGAGAAUGGCAGGAACGCGGGAGGCGGAGCUUGCGGUGAGCCGAGAUCACGCCACUGCACUCCAGCCUGGGCGACAGAGCAAGCCUCCG